rnacentral:rRNA from 1 species
AACGAACGCUGGCGGCAUGCCUAACACAUGCAAGUCGAACGAAGGCUUCGGCCUUAGUGGCGCACGGGUGCGUAACGCGUGGGAAUCUGCCCUUGGGUUCGGAAUAACAGCGGGAAACUGCUGCUAAUACCGGAUGAUGACGUAAGUCCAAAGAUUUAUCGCCCAAGGAUGAGCCCGCGUAGGAUUAGCUAGUUGGUGGGGUAAAGGCCCACCAAGGCGACGAUCCUUAGCUGGUCUGAGAGGAUGAUCAGUCACACUGGGACUGAGACACGGCCCAGACUCCUACGGGAGGCAGCAGUGGGGAAUAUUGGACAAUGGGCGAAAGCCUGAUCCAGCAAUGCCGCGUGAGUGAUGAAGGCCUUAGGGUUGUAAAGCUCUUUUACCCGGGAUGAUAAUGACAGUACCGGGAGAAUAAGCUCCGGCUAACUCCGUG